UACGGGGGGGGCAAGCGUUGUUCGGAAUUACUGGGCGUAAAGGGCUCGUAGGCGGCCAACUAAGUCGGAUGUGAAAUCCCCAGGCUUAACCUGGGAACUGCAUCCGAUACUGGAUGGCUUGAAUCCGGGAGAGGGAUGCAGAAUUCCAGGUGUAGCGGUGAAAUGCGUAGAGAUGUGGAGGAACACCAGUGGCGAAGGCGGGUUGCUGGGCUGACACUGACGCUGAGGCGACGAAAGCGUGGGGAGCAAACAGG
rnacentral:rRNA from 1 species